rnacentral:rRNA from 1 species
UACGUAGGGGGCAAGCGUUGUCCGGAUUUAUUGGGCGUAAAGAGCGUGUAGGCGGCCAGGUAGGUCCGUUGUGAAAACUCGAGGCUCAACCUCGAGACGUCGGCGGAAACCCUCUGGCUAGAGUCCGGAAGAGGAGAGUGGAAUUCCUGGUGUAGCGGUGAAAUGCGCAGAUAUCAGGAAGAACACCCGUGGCGAAGGCGGGUCUCUGGGCCGUAACUGACGCUGAGGAGCGAAAGCGUGGGGAGCGAACAGG